GACGAACGCUGGCGGCGUGCUUAACACAUGCAAGUCGAACGGAAAGGCCCUGCUUUUGUGGGGUGCUCGAUUGGCGAACGGGUGAGUAACACGUGAGUAACCUGCCCUUGACUUUGGGAUAACUUCAGGAAACUGGGGCUAAUACCGGAUAGGAGCUCCUGCUGCAUGGUGGUGGUUGGAAAGUUUCGGCGGUUGGGGAUGGACUCGCGGCUUAUCAGCUUGUUGGUGGGGUAGUGGCUUACCAAGGCUUUGACGGGUAGCCGGCCUGAGAGGGUGACCGGGGACAAUGGGACUGAGAUACGGCACAGACGGCAACGGGAGGCAGCAGUGGGGAAUAUUGCACAAUGGGCGGAAGCCUGAUGCAGAAAAGCAGCGUGCGGGAUGACGGCCUUCGGGUUGUAAACCGAUUUAGCAUGUGACGAAGAGUGAGUGACGGUAAUGGGUAAAGAAGCACCGGCUAACUACGUG
rnacentral:rRNA from 1 species